rnacentral:rRNA from 1 species
GACGAACGCUGGCGGCGUGCCUAAUACAUGCAAGUCGAACGCUUCUUUCCUCCCGAGUGCUUGCACUCAAUUGGAAAGCGGAGUGGCGGACGGGUGAGUAACACGUGUGUAACCUACCCAUCAGAGGGGGAUAACACUUGGAAACAGGUGCUAAUACCGCAUAACAGUUUAUGCCGCAUGGCAUAAGAGUGAAAGGCGCUUUCGGGUGUCGCUGAUGGAUGGACCCGCGGUGCAUUAGCUAGUUGGUGAGGUAACGGCUCACCAAGGCCACGAUGCAUAGCCGACCUGAGAGGGUGAUCGGCCACACUGGGACUGAGACACGGCCCAGACUCCUACGGGAGGCAGCAGUAGGGAAUCGUCGGCAAUGGACGAAAGUCUGACCGAGCAACGCCGCGUGAGUGAAGAAGGUGUUCGGAUCGUAAAACUCUGUUGUUAGAGAAGAACAAGGACGUUAGUAACUGAACGUCCCCUGACGGUAACUAACCAGAAAGCCACGGCUAACUACGUG